GACGAACUCUGGCGGCGUGCUUAACACAUGCAAGUCGAACGAGUGGCGAACGGGUGAGUAAUACGUGGGUAACAUGCCAUCCUGUUUGGGAUAAGCCUUGGAAAAGGGGUCUAAUACCGCAUCACGGGGGAUGGGCGCUCGGCCUAUCAGCGUGUUGGUGGGGUGAUGGCUACCAAGGCGUGACGUGUAGCCGUCCUGAGAGGGUGAACGGCCACAUUGGGACUGAGAUACGGCCCAGACGCGUACGGGAGGCAGCAGUGGGGAAUAUUGCACAAUGGGCGGAAGCGUGAUGCAGCGUCGCCGGGUGGGGGAUGAAGGCUUUCGGGUUGUAAACUCCUUUCGACAGGGACGCGGUACCUGUAUAAGAAGCACCGGCUAACUACGUGCCAGCAGCCGCGGUAAUAC
rnacentral:rRNA from 1 species